rnacentral:tRNA from 2 species
UGGGGGAUCGUUCAGUGGUAGGACGGCAGGUUCUGGCCCUGCAGACAGGGGUUCGAGUCCCUUUCCCCCAGCCA